rnacentral:rRNA from 1 species
AAGCUUUCUUUCACCGAAUGCUUGCAUUCACCGAAAGAAGCUUAGUGGCGAACGGGUGAGUAACACGUAGGCAACCUGCCCAAAAGAGGGGGAUAACACUUGGAAACAGGUGCUAAUACCGCAUAACCAUGAACACCGCAUGAUGUUCAUGUAAAAGACGGCUUUUGCUGUCGCUUUUGGAUGGGCCUGCGGCGUAUUAACUUGUUGGUGGGGUAACGGCCUACCAAGGUGAUGAUACGUAGCCGAACUGAGAGGUUGAUCGGCCACAUUGGGACUGAGACACGGCCCAAACUCCUACGGGAGGCAGCAGUAGGGAAUCUUCCACAAUGGACGAAAGUCUGAUGGAGCAACGCCGCGUGAAUGAAGAAGGCCUUCGGGUCGUAAAAUUCUGUUGUCAGAGAAGAACGUGCGUGAGAGUAACUGUUCACGUAUUGACGGUAUCUGACCAGAAAGCCACGGCUAACUACGUGCCAGCAGCCGCGGUAAUACGUAGGUGGCGAGCGUUGUCCGGAUUUAUUGGGCGUAAAGGGAACGCAGGCGGUCUUUUAAGUCUGAUGUGAAAGCCUUCGGCUUAACCGAAGUAGUGCAUUGGAAACUGGAAGACUUGAGUGCAGAAGAGGAGAGUGGAACUCCAUGUGUAGCGGUGAAAUGCGUAGAUAUAUGGAAGAACACCAGUGGCGAAAGCGGCUCUCUGGUCUGUAACUGACGCUGAGGUUCGAAAGCGUGGGUAGCAAACAGGAUUAGAUACCCUGGUAGUCCACGCCGUAAACGAUGAGUGCUAAGUGUUGGAGGGUUUCCGCCCUUCAGUGCUGCAGCUAACGCAUUAAGCACUCCGCCUGGGGAGUACGGUCGCAAGACUGAAACUCAAAGGAAUUGACGG